UACGAAGGGGGCUAGCGUUGCUCGGAAUGACUGGGCGUAAAGGGCGCGUAGGCGGAUUAUUCAGUCAGGCGUGAAAUUCCUGGGCUCAACCUGGGGACUGCGUUUGAGACGGGUAGUCUUGAGUUCGGAAGAGGGUCGUGGAAUUCCCAGUGUAGAGGUGAAAUUCGUAGAUAUUGGGAAGAACACCGGUGGCGAAGGCGGCGACCUGGUCCGAUACUGACGCUGAGGCGCGAAAGCGUGGGGAGCAAACAGGAUUAGAUACCCUGGUAGUCCACGCUGUAAACGAUGUGUGCUGGAUGUUGGGUGACCUAGUCACUCAGUGUCGUAGCUAACGCGAUAAGCACACCGCCUGGGGAGUACGGCCGCAAGGUUGAAACUCAA
rnacentral:rRNA from 1 species